AUCUCUGAAGGCAUGAAGGGCAUUCAAAUGGCUGCUCACCAGCAUGGACCCUCAGGUGCACCUUCAGGGUGUGCCUUGAUGAAAAGCACUGAGAGCACAAAUGGCAUGCAAACGGACGCUGGCCAGUAUGGUAGAACAGGUGCCUGUUUAGGGUGCUCCUUUUUGAGAAGCUCUGAAGGCACAAAUGGCAUUGAAACAGACCCUCGCCAGUGUGAACCCUGGCAUGUUCUUCCAGACGAAACAGUUCAUCAGCCUCAAAAUCACAGA